UUCUCCUUCAACUUUGAUUCAUGAAGUCAAUAAUGAUAUAGUUUAUUAGUAAACAUGGAGAGUUGUAUUUUACUGAUUCUUCUAACAGUGGCAGGUGUAUUUGCUGACAGCAUUGAACCAAAAGACAAGAAUAUAAUCAAGACUGAAGGAGAAUCUGUGACACUGAGCUGCACAUAUGAAGCAACCAGUCUCUAUGUUUAUCUUUACUGGUACAAACAGCAUCCUAACAGUGAACCUCAGUAUUUACUGUAUAAAGGUGCUCGAUCACGGAGUAGCUAUGCAGAUACAGCAGACCGUCGGUUUAAGUCAACAGCAUCAGAUUCAUCCACUGAACUCAUUAUUGACAGUGUAACUCUGUCAGAUUCAGCUUUAUAUUACUGUGCACUGAGAGUUGAAGCCCAGUGAUACAAAAUACCUGAGAGGCUUUACAAAAACUCACACACAGUUAUUGCUUUGAACAGUUUUUAAUCAAACCACAGUCGUUCUUUAUGGGAACCACAAAACUCUUGUGCAUAACAUGAUACAGUAACACCUGCUGCAAGUUAACCAGAGGAAAAAAAGAAAAGAAAAUGUUUUGUUUAAUAAAUCACUGUUAAGUGUUUGUUUAUAGUGGCAAUCCAACCAUUCUUAUAAAAUGAUCCCUGUCUGACGAGGUUCCUAAACCAAUAAAAAAACAAGAUACUUUGC